rnacentral:lncRNA from 1 species
AACACAAUCAAGGGACAAACUACAUCGUGUGAGGCCAGCUCAGGCUGCUACUACUCUGUCAUCCUAAGAGAAGAAUCUCUGAAAUUUUGACAGCAUGUGGAAAUAUUCCCACUGAUUAUUGGAUUAUGAAGAUGGAGAAGAGUAUUUUAAAGGAGUUUUGUAGGAGCUGCAGGAGAGGAUUCAGGUAUAUUUAUAUUCAUAGUAUAUGUGUAAUGCUUUGUUCCUGCUCCUUCAUUACUUCUAUUAAGAAGAGACAAGGAGAGAGACAUGGAAAUGACUAAGGCACCAAAGGAAAGGCAUUUUUUACAUUUCAAAGUCACAGGUAAAAAACAUUUAUCAUUUUCAUGUGGAAACAUUCUUCCAAGCUGUAACUAAUAAUGGUCUCUCCUACUAUUUCCUCCCACUUCUGCAGCUGCUAAAACACCUUUGCCACCAGCUCCGACAAUCAAACCAUGCCUUUGGAUUUCUUCAGUUUCUAAAGGGGAACAUCUUUUUAAAGCCUUUGUUGUAUUAAUUAAGAAUCCAGGGCCAAGCCCGUGGCUCAUGCCCAUAAUCCCAGCACUUUGUGAGGCCAAGGCAGGUAGAUCACCUGAGGUCGGGAGUUCGAGACCAGCCUGACCAACAUGGAGAAACCCCGUAUCUAUUAAAAAUACAAAAUUAGCCAGGCAUAGUGGCAUAUGCCUGUAAUCGCAGCUAUUCAGGAGGCCGAGGCAGGAGAAUCGCUUGAAUAUGGGAGGUGGAGGCUGUGGUGAGCCGGGAUCGUGCCAUUGCACUCCAGCCUGGGUGACAAGAGCGAAACUCUGUCACCAAAAAAAAAAAAAAAUUCAGUGGCUGGCAUAGAGUCAAGAAACUCUAUGAACAGAAGAUAACUGACUUAGCAGCAGCAGAGUAAGCCUCCAAAAAGAAGCAAGAUCUUUGAAAGUGGCUGGGAGAGCUCCCAACUGAAUAGGCUUCAGCCUCCCACUGUCAGUACUUAAGGUUCAAAUGCCUCAGGCUGCGGGAGGGGACGGGGUGGAGACUGGCCAUGUCGGAGGUGACCUGGAGUCUGC